GGAAGUAAAAGUCGUAACAAGGUUUCCGUAGGUGAACCUGCGGAAGGAUCAUUAAAGAAAUAAACUUGAUGGGUUGUAGCUGGCUCUAACUUGAGUAUGUGCACGCCUGUCAUUUUUAUCUUUCCACCAUGUGCACUUUGCGUAGGGUCUGAAAAUCAAGUGAAUUCUUGAUGUCUUGGGAACUGCUGUGCUUCACAGCCGGCUUUUCCUGUCUUCAGGCUCUAUGAUUUUUAUAUAUACACCAUGUAUGUUAAAGAACGCAUUUACAGGCUUGCAAAAGCCUAUAAACAUUAUACAACUUUCAGCAACGGAUCUCUUGGCUCUCGCAUCGAUGAAGAACGCAGCGAAAUGCGAUAAGUAAUGUGAAUUGCAGAAUUCAGUGAAUCAUCGAAUCUUUGAACGCACCUUGCGCUCCUUGGUAUUCCGAGGAGCAUGCCUGUUUGAGUGUCAUUAAAUUCUCAAUCUCUACAACUUUUGUUGUUAGCAGGUUGGAUGUGGGGGUUUAUGUGGGCGUUACAACCUACUCCCCUGAAAUGAAUUAGCUGGAAUGCCUCGGCAAAUCCAACUAUCAGUGUGAUAAAUAUCUUACUGUGGUUGUUGCUUUUGAGGGUAUCCGCUUCUCAACUGUCUGCAAAGACAACUUGAAUCAUUUUGACCUCAAAUCAGGUAGGACUACCCGCUGAACUUAAGCAUAUCAAUAAGCGGAGGA
rnacentral:rRNA from 1 species